UCCGGGCCCUACGGGGCGCAGCAGGCGCGAAACCUUUACACUGCACGACAGUGCGAUAGGGGGAUCCCAAGUGCACAGGCAUAGCGCCUGUGCUUUUCGGUACCGUAAGGUGGUACCAGAAUAAGGGCUGGGCAAGACCGGUGCCAGCCGCCGCGGUAAUACCGGCAGCCCAAGUGAUGGCCGAUCUUAUUGGGCCUAAAGCGUCCGUAGCUGGCCGCGCAAGUCCAUCGGGAAAUCCACCUGCUCAACAGGUGGGCGCCCGGUAGAAACUGCGUGGCUUGGGACCGGAAGGCGCGACGGGUACGUCCGGGGUAGGAGUGAAAUCCCGUAAUCCUGGACGGACCGCCGAUGGCGAAAGCACGUCGCGAGGACGGAUCCGACAGUGAGGGACGAAAGCCAGGGUCUCGAACCGGAUUAGAUACCCGGGUAGUCCUGGCCGUAAACAAUGCCUGCUAGGUGUGGCUCCCACUACGAGUGGGUGCUGUGCCGUAGGGAAGCCGCUAAGCAGGCCGCCUGGGAAGUACGUCCGCAAGGAUGAAACUUAAAGGAAUUGGCGGGGGAGCACUACAACCGGAGGAGCCUGCGGUUUA
rnacentral:rRNA from 1 species